AGCACUGCAGUUGAUACUGGACGGCUUGAGUGCAGUUGAGGCAGGCGGAAUUCGUGGUGUAGCGGUGAAAUGCUUAGAUAUCACGAAGAACCCCGAUUGCGAAGGCAGCCUGCUAAGCUGCAACUGACGUUGAGGCUCGAAAGUGUGGGUAUCAAACAGGAUUAGAUACCCUGGUAGUCCACACGGUAAACGAUGGAUACUCGCUGUUGGCGAUAUACUGUCAGCGGCCAAGUGAAAACGUUAAGUAUCCCACCUGGGGAGUACGCCGGCAACGGUGAAACUCAAAGGAAUUGACGGGGGCCCGCACAAGCGGAGGAACAUGUGGUUUAAUUCGAUGAUACGCGAGGAACCUUACCCGGGCUUGAACUGCACCCGAAUUUACCGGAGACGGUAAAGCCGCAAGGCGGGUGUGGAGGUGCUGCAUGGUUGUCGUCAGCUCGUGCCGUGAGGUGUCGGCUUAAGUGCCAUAACGAGCGCAACCCUUUCCGCCGGUUACUAACAGGUUAUGCUGAGGACUCCGACGGUACUGCCAUCGUAAGAUGUGAGGAAGGUGGGGAUGACGUCAAAUCAGCACGGCCCUUACGUCCGGGGCUACACACGUGUUACAAUGGGGGGUACAGAAGGCAGCGACCGGGCGACCGGAAGCGAAUCCCUAAAGCCCCUCUCAGUUCGGACUGGAGUCUGCAACCCGACUCCACGAAGCUGGAUUCGCUAGUAAUCGCGCAUCAGCCACGGCGCGGUGAAUACGUUCCCGGGCCUUGUACACACCGCCCGUCAAGCCAUG
rnacentral:rRNA from 1 species